GACGAACGCUGGCGGCGUGCUUAACACAUGCAAGUCGAACGAUGACGACCGAGCUUGCUCGGUCUGAUUAGUGGCGAACGGGUGAGUAACACGUGAGCAACCUGCCCUUCACUCUGGGAUAACCUCGGGAAAUCGGGGCUAAUACCGGAUAUGAGCUCCUGUCGCAUGGCGGGUGUUGGAAAGUUUUUCGGUGAAGGAUGGGCUCGCGGCCUAUCAGUUUGUUGGUGAGGUAGUGGCUCACCAAGGCGAUGACGGGUAGCCGGCCUGAGAGGGCGACCGGCCACACUGGGACUGAGACACGGCCCAGACUCCUACGGGAGGCAGCAGUGGGGAAUAUUGCACAAUGGGCGAAAGCCUGAUGCAGCGACGCCGCGUGAGGGAUGACGGCCUUCGGGUUGUAAACCUCUUUCAGCAGGGAAGAAGCGAGAGUGACGGUACCUGCAGAAGAAGCGCCGGCUAACUACGUG
rnacentral:rRNA from 1 species